rnacentral:tRNA from 1 species
GGUUGGCUCAGUGGUAGAGCGCUUGCCUUGCAUGCAUAAGGCCCUGGGUUCAAUUCCUCAGCACCA